rnacentral:misc_RNA from 1 species
CAUUACAAAUGAUAAGGGUCGUCUGAGCCAAGAGGAAAUUGAGCGAAUGGUUCGUGAGGCAGAAGAGUUUGCUGAGGAGGACAGGAAGGUGAAGGAAAAGAUUGAUGCUCGUAACAGUCUAGAGACCUAUGUGUAUAACAUGAAGAACCAAAUUAAUGACAAAGACAAGCUUGCUGACAAACUCGAGGCUGAUGAAAAGGAGAAAAUUGAAACCUCUGUGAAAGAAGCCCUUGAGUGGCUCGAUGAUAACCAGAGUGCUGAGAAAGAAGACUAUGAAGAGAAGCUCAAGGAAGUUGAAGCUGUUUGCAACCCAAUCAUCACUGCUGUAUAUCAGAGAUCUGGUGGACCCCCAGGUGGUGGAUCAGCUGAAGAUGAAGAUUCACAUGAUGAGCUCUAAGAAUCUUUGCUUUCCAGCAGUCAUCUAUGGAAGCAA